rnacentral:lncRNA from 1 species
GGCACCCACUAAAUGGGAGUUUGUUGACGACUAGAUCAUCAAAGUGAGGAACCUCACCGAACCAUUGCGCCGUUUCCCGUUUCUCUCUCUGUCCGCGAAGCCUUUCCGCUUUCCUGUCUUUCCUUCCCUUGCAAAACAUUUGUUCUCUUCGGAAUCCUCGCAUAGCGACACAAGAAGUCUAUCGGAAAGAAUUUUAUCUCGUCUUCAAGAGAAUGUUAAUCUCCCUCCAUUGUUUGUUUGAACGGGUUCGCAGAAGCAAGUGUAUGGCCCGACACGGUCUCCGGUUACACUUUUGCUAGCUAAGAAUCUGCGGAACUUCCAAUAUGCGAGGGGCUCGGGUCGAUUUUUCGGCAAUUCGCAUUAAGUUCUUCAAAAUAUAUUUCCUUUAGAGUAAAAUUCGUGACACCAGUUUCUAAUUUACUCAGGGCUGCCGUAGCGUCCUCGGUCUGGCCACCUUAGCGCGAUUGCAACCUUUAGGACAGGGGUGACCGAAUUUUUUCUUCGAUUAAAGACUGUGUAGUUUCUUUUGGACAGGCAUAUCGUUUUAAAAGUCUUAUUCGCAAUCGUUCUGACAGCACGACGACGCUGCUAUCCAUCACUUGCCGUUAAUGAGGAUAGAACCAGAGGCUACAACAGCGUGAGUGCACAGUAUAUCCCUGGGCAUCGUGAAGCGAAGGCGUGAAUGAGUAUCUUGAACACAGACCAUGCUACCUUGGGACCCUGGCAAUGUCAGUUCCAGAGGAUGCUUGGUUCAAGGUUGUGAAUUUUUUGGCGAUAGCGUCUCCCUUGAGUGAACCGGAGUGUAGACCGUGCAGGCUGAUUUUGCUUGUCAAUCGAUUUGUAGGUUUAAUCCUGGGCAGGCGCCAUGUGAGGCGGCUUUGCAUAUAUAUAUAUAUAUAUAUAUAUAUGGUGUGUCUGUGCCCGUUGUCAUGAAAACCGGUGCUAAGUAGUAGCCUCGCUGAAGAACAGCUCGUGGCAUUGAAGAGUUUGCCACACAAUGGGAAACAAACCAGCAAACAGCGGAU